UUUGUGCCCAUUCUCCCACAUUUUGCUUCCAGCUACACACUUCUAAGUGUGUAGCAACCCCUAAGACUUAGAUUCUUAAGUUAUGCUGUUCGGUUUAUUCCUUCUCUCAAGUUUCAAAUGCCAAGGUUCUUUGAUGUUUUGGUGGGAAAUGAAGAAAAAGUUCAAAGCUUAAUCUUUGAAGCCCAUUUGAGGUAAAGAGAGAUGAAAUCUUAAGCCCAUGGAGACAUGGUUGACUUAGUUGUAAUUUUGUGUUCUGGUAAAUCCUAUGGUAGAGUUUGACCUAUUCUUGAUUGCUUUUUUAUUGAAAGCAUGGGUUUUUAUGGCUUAAAGUUUGAUGCUUUGGUUGAUUUGUGCUUUGAAGAUGCUAUGCAUGCCACAAUUUUGUUCAUGUAUAUGUGAUAUGCAUUUUUUUUAUAAAAAAAUUAAGCGUUUGUAUUGUUGUUUCCUCGAGCUUUAUAUUGGAAUAUUUGAGCUAAGGUGUCAAAGGUGUUUUGUUGAAAUUUAUACAAGAUUUAAUGGAGAAAAAUGAGACAUAAGAUUGCAUA